UACGUAGGGUGCGAGCGUUGUCCGGAAUUAUUGGGCGUAAAGAGCUCGUAGGCGGUGUGUCGCGUCGGCCGUGAAAACCUGCAGCUUAACUGUGGGCCUGCGGCCGAUACGGGCAGACUUGAGUUCGGUAGGGGAGACUGGAAUUCCUGGUGUAGCGGUGAAAUGCGCAGAUAUCAGGAGGAACACCGGUGGCGAAGGCGGGUCUCUGGGCCGAUACUGACGCUGAGGAGCGAAAGCGUGGGGAGCGAACAGG
rnacentral:rRNA from 1 species